CGGGUGAGUAACACGUGGAUCAUCUACCCUGGAGUGGGGAAUAACGCUGGGAAACCGGCGCUAAUACCGCAUAAUCCCGAGAGGGCAAAGGAGCUUUGUGAAAACAGAGCAUCGCUUCAGGAGGAGUCCGCGGCCGAUUAGCUAGUUGGCAGGGUAAAAGCCUACCAAGGCAACGAUCGGUAGCCGGCCUGAGAGGGCACACGGCCACACUGGCACUGAAACACGGGCCAG
rnacentral:rRNA from 1 species